AAUGAACGCUGGUGGCAGACCUAACACAUGCAAGUCGAACGGUCUAUAUUAAACUUCGGUUUUUAUAGAUUAGUGGCAAACGGGUGAGUAAAGGCAUGGGAAUCUACCGUAGAAGUUUGGAAUAGCUAUUAGAAAUGAUAGAUAAUACCAAAUACACCUACGAGAGGGAAAGUUGACGUUACGGUCUUCGCUUUUAGAUGUAGCCCAUGUUAAACUUAGUUAGUUAGGUAGGGUAAUGGCCCUACCAAGAUGAUGAUUUAUAGCUGGUCUUAGAGGAUGAUCAGCCACACUGGAAUUGAGAUACGGUCCAGACUCCUACGGGGAGGCAGCAGUGGGGGAAUAGUGGGAC
rnacentral:rRNA from 1 species